AUGGCCAGGCUGGGCCCUCAGCCCAGAGAACGCCACGAACCUCCGGGAGCAGGUGCUGAGAUCCCUCUGCCAGUAAAGCCCCACCCCACAGUCUCCCACAGCCUCAGGUCACCUGGGUGGGGUCUCUGCUGUCCAAAGCCCCCUCAGGCCCCUGUGCAGCUGAUGGGACGGGUGCUGCUGGCAGUCUUCCCCAAGCCUCAAGGACCCCCACCCGCACCCCUACAUAGCAGUGUCCCCCCAACCCGGGAGCACUGCGGGGUUCAGGCACAGGUUCACAACUGCAGGGACACUCGCUGCGGGCUGUUCGAUCCCUCACCCAGACCCCAGAGCCCCCGCACGGCUGACCUCCGGGCACCCAGCAGUCCGGGUGGGGCCAAGCCCCCCUCGAAGCGCCACGCAAGUCCCCACGGACAUCGGUUUCUCGUGUCGUGAGGGGAGCCUGUCGUGAGGCGGAUGCUCUGAGGCCCGCGCGCCCCCCAGCCCCAGACCUCGAGGCCGCUGCGGGCGAACACGCGGGCGGGGCGGGGAGGCGGCCGGA
rnacentral:lncRNA from 1 species